rnacentral:rRNA from 1 species
UACGGGGGAGCAAGCGUUGUUUGGAUUUACUGGGCGUAAAGGGCGCGUAGGCGGCACUGCAAGUCAGUUGUGAAAUCUCCGGGCUUAACCCGGAAAGGUCAACUGAUACUGCAGGGCUAGAGUGCAGAAGGGGCAACUGGAAUUCUCGGUGUAGCGGUGAAAUGCGUAGAUAUCGAGAGGAACACCUGCGGCGAAGGCGGGUUGCUGGGCUGACACUGACGCUGAGGCGCGAAAGCCAGGGGAGCGAACGGG